AGGACGAACGCUGGCGGCGUGCUUAACACAUGCAAGUCGAGCGGUAAGGCCUUUCGGGGUACACGAGCGGCGAACGGGUGAGUAACACGUGGGUGAUCUGCCCUGCACUCUGGGAUAAGCCUGGGAAACUGGGUCUAAUACCGGAUAUGACCUGCUCUCGCAGUGGGGGGUGGUGGAAAGAUUUAUCGGUGCAGGAGUCGGGCCCGCGGCCUAUCAGCUUGGUUGGUGGGUAAUGGCCUACCGAAGGCGACGGACGGGUAGCCGACCUGGAGA
rnacentral:rRNA from 1 species